rnacentral:sRNA from 1 species
UCAUUAUUGUUUGCCAGUGUUAGUAA